AUUAUAUAUCACUAAAGCCAAACACCUUCAAAGCUGUUAUACGCACCCGAAGGUCAGAAGCCCAAUCACGAAAGUGGCUUUAAACCAACUGAACCCACGAAAGCUAGGGUACAAACUGGGAUUAGAUACCCCACUAUGCCUAGCCUUAAACAUUGAUGAUAACUUACAAUUGCCAUCCGCCUGGGGACUACGAGCACCAGCUUAAAACCCAAAGGACUUGGCGGUGCUUUAGACCCACCUAGAGGAGCCUGUUCUAGAACCGAUAACCCCCGUUCAACCUCACCCUUCCUUGUUCUUCCCGCCUAUAUACCACCGUCGUCAGCUUACCCUGUGAAGGGCUAAUAGUAAGCAAAACUGGCAAAGCCCAAAACGUCAGGUCGAGGUGUAGCGUAUGGAAGGGGAAGAAAUGGGCUACAUUCACUAACUCAGUGUACACGAAUGACACCCUGAAACACGUGUCUGAAGGAGGAUUUAGCAGUAAGUAGAAAAUAGAGUGUUCUACUGAAACUGGCCCUGAAGCGCGCACACACCGCCCGUCACUCUCCCCGAGCUAAGACUCUCAAGUAAAUAAACAACUACAACUGCAAA
rnacentral:rRNA from 1 species